rnacentral:rRNA from 1 species
CAGCAACGCCGCGUGGGGAGUGACGGCCUUCGGGUUGUAACCUCUUUCUCGGGACGAUAAUGACGGUACUCGGGGAAUAAGUCACGGCUAACUACGUGC